GAACGCACCGCAAGGUGAGUAGAGCACGGGUGAGUAACGCGUGGGAACCUGCCCUGGAGUGGGGGAUAACCCGGCGAAAGCCGGGCUAAUACCGCAUACGUCCUGAGGGAGAAAGAUUUAUCGCUCUAGGAGGGGCCCGCGUCGGAUUAGCUAGUUGGUGAGGUAACGGCUCACCAAGGCGACGAUCCGUAGCUGGUCUGAGAGGAUGAUCAGCCACACUGGGACUGAGACACGGCCCAGACUCCUACGGGAGGCAGCAGUGGGGAAUAUUGGACAAUGGGGGAAACCCUGAUCCAGCAAUGCCGCGUGAGUGAUGAAGGCCUUAGGGUUGUAAAGCUCUUUCGGCGGGGACGAUGAUGACGGUACCCGCAGAAGAAGCCCCGGCUAACUUCGUGCCAGCAGCCGCGGUAAU
rnacentral:rRNA from 1 species